rnacentral:rRNA from 1 species
GAUGAACGCUGGCGGCGUGCCUAACACAUGCAAGUCGAGCGGAAGGACGAUAAGCUUGCUGCUUUGAUGUUAGCGGAGGGCGGGUGUGUAACGCGUGUAUCACCUACUUAUAUUUCGGGUAUAAUUACGAGAAACCGGAUCUAAUACCAUAUAAUAUUUUGAACCGCAUGGUGCAAAAGUGAGUGUCGGUCUUGCUGUCUGGAAUAGCUGGUUCCGCGCUGGAUUAUCUAGUUGUUACGGUAACGGCUUACCAAGGCUACGAUGCGUGACCGACCUGAGGGGGUGAUAGGCAACACUGGAACUGAGACACGGUCCGGACUCCUACGGGAGGCAGCAGUAGGGAACCUUCCGCAAUGGGCGAAAGCAUGACGGAGCAAGCGCGCGUGAGUGACGAAGGUCUUCGGAUCGGAAAGACCUGUUAUUGGGGAAGAACAGCUGUCGACGGAAACGAGGAGAUCUUGACGGUACCUAAUCAAGAAGCAACGGCUAACUACGUG